CUUGACGACCAUAGAGCAUUGGAACCACCUGAUCCCAUCCCGAACUCAGUAGUGAAACGAUGCAUCGCCGAUGGUAGUGUGGGGUUUCCCCAUGUAAGAGUAGGUCAUCGUCAAGA
rnacentral:rRNA from 1 species